UGGGGAAUCUUGGACAAUGGGGGCAACCCUGAUCCAGCCAUGCCGCGUGAGUGAUGAAGGCCUUAGGGUCGUAAAGCUCUUUCGCCUGUGAAGAUAAUGACGGUAGCAGGUAAAGAAACCCCGGCUAACUCCGUGCCAGCAGCCGCGGUAAUACGGAGGGGGUUAGCGUUGUUCGGAAUUACUGGGCGUAAAGCGCACGUAGGCGGACCAGAAAGUUGGGGGUGAAAUCCCGGGGGCUCAACCCCGGAACUGCCUCCAAAACUAUUGGUCUAGAGUUCGAGAGAGGUGAGUGGAAUUCCAAGUGUAGAGGUGAAAUUCGUAGAUAUUUGGAGGAACACCAGUGGCGAAGGCGGCUCACUGGCUCGAUACUGACGCUGAGGUGCGAAAGUGUGGGGAGCAAACAGGAUUAGAUACCCUGGUAGUCCACACCGUAAACGAUGAAUGCCAGUCGUCGGGUAGCAUGCUAUUCGGUGACACACCUAACGGAUUAAGCA
rnacentral:rRNA from 1 species